UCUGACCUGAUUUUUCAGUAGGAAACCAACUUCUUAGCCAGAUGGGGUCUGUUCUGACUGUGUAAUUGGUGCUAAAUACAUAUCUUUUAAAUCAAAUUUACUCUUGCUCUAGCUGCUUGAUUUUUUGGGGCAAUGGAAACAUAUAAUUACAAUCAUGCUGAACUGCAUUUGUUUUUAGAAAGCUUCAAUGUUUGAUUUUUAGAAUAAAAUAAGCUUUACUUUUUACGCAUUCUUUUGCUCCCUGUUAAAACCUUCAUUCCAGGAUGAUCUACCUCGGGAGCACAGAUUACAGGGU
rnacentral:lncRNA from 1 species